GAUGAACGCUGGCGGCGUGCCUAAUACAUGCAAGUCGAGCGAACAGACGAGGAGCUUGCUCCUUUGACGUUAGCGGCGGACGGGUGAGUAACACGUGGGUAACCUACCUAUAAGACUGGGAUAACUUCGGGAAACCGGAGCUAAUACCGGAUAAUAUUUCGAACCGCAUGGUUCGAUAGUGAAUGAUGGCUCUGCUAUCACUUAUAGCUGGACCUGCGCCGUAUUAGCUAGUUGGUAAGGUAACGGCUUACCAAGGCAACGAUACGUAGCCGACCUGAGAGCGUGAUCGGCCACACUGGAACUGAGACACGGUACAGACUCCUACGGGAGGCAGCAGUAGGGAAUGUACCGCAAUGGGCGGAAGCCUGACGGAGCAACGCCGCGUGAGUGAUGAAGGUCUUCGGAUCGUAAAACUCUGUUAUUAGGGAAGAACAAACGUGUAAGUAACUGUGCACGUCGUGACGGUACCUAAUCAGAAAGCCACGGCUAACUACGUG
rnacentral:rRNA from 1 species